rnacentral:rRNA from 1 species
CUACGGGAGGCAGCAGUGAGGAAUAUUGGGCAAUGGGGGAAACCCUGACCCAGCAAUGCCGCGUGCGGGAAGACGCCUUUCGGGGUGUAAACCGCUUUUCUGUGUGACGAGGAAGGACGGUAGCACAGGAAUAAGCCUCGGCUAACUACGUGCCAGCAGCCGCGGUAAAACGUAGGAGGCGAGCGUUAUCCGGAGUUACUGGGCGUAAAGCGCAGGUAGGCGGUGAUGCAAGUUGGGUGUGAAAGCUCCCGGCUAAACUGGGAGAGGUCAUCCAAGACUGCAUGACUAGAGGCCGGUAGAGGGGUGCAGAAUUCCGGGUGUAACGGUGAAAUGUGUAGAGAUCCGGAGGAAUACCAGUGGUGAAGACGGCGCCCUGGGCCGGUACUGACGCUGAGAUGCGAAAGCGUGGGGAGCGAACGGGAUUAGAAACCCCGGUAGUCC